rnacentral:rRNA from 1 species
GAGGUGGAGCGAAUCACAAAACUCGGUCUCAGUUCAGAUUGCAGGCUGCAACUCGCCUGCAUGAAGUUGGAAUUGCUAGUAAUCGCGAAUCAGAAUGUCGCGGUGAAUACGUUCCCGGGCCUUGUACACACCGCCCGUCACACCAUGAGAGUCGAUAACACCCGAAGCCUGUGAGCUAACCUUUUAGGAGGCAGCAGUCGAAGGUGGGGUUGAUGAUUGGGUGAAGUCGUAACAAGGUAAC